rnacentral:rRNA from 1 species
AUUGAACGCUGGCGGCAUGCUUUACACAUGCAAGUCGAACGGCAGCACAGGGAGCUUGCUCCUGGGUGGCGAGUGGCGAACGGGUGAGUAAUGUAUCGGAACGUGCCUGGUAGUGGGGGAUAACUACUCGAAAGAGUGGCUAAUACCGCAUGAGAUCUUUGGAUGAAAGCGGGGGACCUUCGGGCCUCGUGCUACUGGAGCGACCGAUAUCAGAUUAGGUUGUUGGUGGGGUAAAGGCCUACCAAGCCUGCGAUCUGUAGCUGGUCUGAGAGGACGACCAGCCACACUGGGACUGAGACACGGCCCAGACUCCUACGGGAGGCAGCAGUGGGGAAUUUUGGACAAUGGGCGCAAGCCUGAUCCAGCAAUGCCGCGUGCAGGACGAAGGCCUUCGGGUUGUAAACUGCUUUUGUACAGAACGAAAAGUCUCUGGCUAAUAUCUAGAGAUCAUGACGGUACUGUAAGAAUAAGCACCGGCUAACUACGUG